AUUGAACGCUGGCGGCAGGCCUAACACAUGCAAGUCGAGCGGAGCGGCGGACGGGUGAGUAAUGCCUAGGAAUCUGCCUGGUAGUGGGGGAUAACGUCCGGAAACGGGCGCUAAUAUCGCAUACUAUCGACUGCGGCUGGGUCGGAUUAGCUAGUGGGUGGGGUAAGGGCUUACCAAGGCGACGAUCCGUAACUGGUCUGAGAGGAUGAUCAGUCACACUGGAACUGAGACACGGUCCAGACUCCUACGGGAGGCAGCAGUGGGGAAUAUUGGACAAUGGGCGAAAGCCUGAUCCAGCCAUGCCGCGUGUGUGAAGAAGGUCUUCGGAUUGUAAAGCACUUUAAGUUGGGAGGCGUUACCAACAGAAUAAGCACCGGCUAACUUCGUGCCAGCAGCCGCGGUAAUAC
rnacentral:rRNA from 1 species